GGACUCAGAGGGUUCUAGAAUCCUGAGGGCAGAGAAGUGGACUUGGGAACAUCACAGAAGUGACCCCGACCGAGUCCCUGGAAUGUGUGACCCUCUCUCUCCUUGUUCUGUGUAGACAUUUGUCUCAUGGAGGCCUAAGAGGGUGACUCCAUCCCUUCCAAUUUCCGGGCAAGGAACUGAGCCUGGGGAGGUCAGGGAGCUCGAAGGCGGAGCAAGCUGGGAACAUGGACUCUACACUCAGUGCUUGGCCCUUGGUACUUGGCCCUCUGCAGAGCCGGUGUAGAGGAGAAGAUCAGAGGUGCACAGAGGAAAUGCUUUCACAUCCGGGAGCCACAGUCUGCAGAAUCUGCGGCAUGCCCAAGACAACAGAGGGUACUCAAGGGAAAGCAGCACGUGGUGCCAGGCACACCCAGGACAGCUGUGCCCAAGGAUAGGACGUCCUUUUCCCCACCUCCUCAGCCUCCCUCCUCCCAGCGGGCGUGCAUAGUCUAUGCUGGUGCAAGGACUGAUCCUUUGCAGCUUGCAAGUUGCUGUCUCCCUUGGAGCAGACAGGAGGGCGCCCUGGGACUGUUAGAGAUCGCAAGCUUUGAUAACCUGCCCCCCU
rnacentral:lncRNA from 1 species